rnacentral:rRNA from 1 species
AAAAAAAAAAAUCUGUUUAAUAAAUGGUAUUCUGAAUCAUUAUAUGGAAAUUAAGUUAAAACUUUCAACAACGGAUCUCUUGGUUCUGGCAUCGAUGAAGAACGCAGCGAAAUGCGAUAAGUAAUGUGAAUUGCAGAAUUUAGUGAAUCAUCGAAUCUUUGAACGCACAUUGCGCCCAUUAGUAUUCUAGUGGCAUGCCUGUUCGAGCGUCAUUUCAACCCCUUAAGCCUCGGUUGCUUAGUGUUGGAAGCCUACCGCAUUCUAUGCUGUAGCUUCUUAAAGUUAGUGGCGGAGUCGGUUCAUACUCUAGGCGUAGUAAAGAUUUUAUUCUCGCCUGUAGAGAUGAGCCGGUCCCCUGCCGUAAAACACCCCCCUAUUUUUUAUAAGGUUGACCU